rnacentral:rRNA from 1 species
GCAUAUCAAUAAGCGGAGGAAAAGAAACCAACAGGGAUUGCCCCAGUAACGGCGAGUGAAGCGGCAACAGCUCAAAUUUGAAAUCUGGCCCCAGGCCCGAGUUGUAAUUUGCAGAGGAUGCUUUUGGCGCGGUGCCUUCCGAGUUCCCUGGAACGGGACGCCAUAGAGGGUGAGAGCCCCGUACGGUUGGACACCAAGCCUUUGUAAAGCUCCUUCGACGAGUCGAGUAGUUUGGGAAUGCUGCUCUAAAUGGGAGGUACAUUUCUUCUAAAGCUAAAUAUUGGCCAGAGACCGAUAGCGCACAAGUAGAGUGAUCGAAAGAUGAAAAGCACUUUGAAAAGAGGGUUAAACAGCACGUGAAAUUGUUAAAAGGGAAGCGCUUGUGACCAGACUUGCGUCCGGUGAAUCACCCAGCUCUCGCGGCUGGGGCACUUCGCCGGCACAGGCCAGCAUCAGCUUGCCGUCGGGGACAAAAGCUUCAGGAACGUGGCUCCUCUCGGGGAGUGUUAUAGCCUGUUGUAUAAUACCCUUCGGCGGGCUGAGGUACGCGCUCCGCAAGGAUGCUGGCGUAAUGGUCAUCAGCGACCCGUCUUGAAACACGGACCAAGGAGUCAACCUUAUGUGCGAGUGUUUGGGUGUUAAACCCCUACGCGUAAUGAAAGUGAACGCAGGUGAGAGCUUCGGCGCAUCAUCGACCGAUCCUGAUGUUCUCGGAUGGAUUUGAGUAAGAGCAUAUAGGGUUGGACCCGAAAGAAGGUGAACUAUGCGUGUGUAGGGUGAAGCCAGAGGAAACUCUGGUGGAGGCUCGCAGCGGUUCUGACGUGCAAAUCGAUCGUCAAACAUGCGCAUGGGGGCGAAAGACUAAUCGAACCUUCUAGUAGCUGGUUUCCGCCGAAGUU